CCUACGGGUGGCUGCAGUAGGGAAUCUUCCGCAAUGGACGAAAGCCUGAUCGAGCAACGCCGCGUGGGUGAAGAAGGUCUUCGGAUCGUAAAGCCCUGUUGUUAGAGAAGAAAGAGCGUGAGAGUAACUGUUCACGUUUCGACGGUAUCUAACCAGAAAGCCACGGCUAACUACGUUCCAGCAGCCGCGGGAAUACGUAGGUGGCAAGCGUUCUCCGGAUUUAUUGGGCGUAAAUGGAACGGAGGCGGUCUUUUAAGUCUUAUGGGAAAGCGUUCGGCUUAACCGGAGUAGUGCAUUGGAAACUGGGAGACUUGAGUGCAGAAGAGGAGAGUGGAACUCCAUGUGUAGCGGUGAAAUGCGUAGAUAUAUGGAAGAACACCAGUGGCGAAAGCGGCUCUCUGGUCUGUAACUGACGCUGAGGUUCGAAAGCGUGGGUAGCAAACAGGAUUAGAUACCCCGGUAGUC
rnacentral:rRNA from 1 species